rnacentral:rRNA from 1 species
ACGAACGCUGGCGGCGCGUCUUAAGCAUGCAAGUCGGGCGGCAAGGGGGAGCGAUCCCCCCUAGAGCGGCGGACUGGUGAGUAACGCGUGGGCGACCUGCCUUGAGGAUGGGGAUAGCCGCUAGAAAUAGCGGGCAAUACCGAAUACGCUGGCCAUGCCGAGGCAUGGCGAGGAAAGGGGCUAAGGCCCCGCCUUGAGAUGGGCCCGCGUCCCAUUAGGUAGUUGGGGGUGUAACGGACCACCAAGCCCGAGAUGGGUAGCCGGCCUGAGAGGGCGAACGGCCACACUGGGACUGAGAUACGGCCCAGACUCCUACGGGAGGCAGCAGCUAAGAAUAUUCCGCAAUGGGCGAAAGCCUGACGGAGCGACGCCGCGUGGAUGAGGGAGGCCGAAAGGUUGUAAAAUCCUUUUGCGGGCGAAGAAUAAGCGCGGCAGGGAAUGGCCGCGCGAUGACGCUAGCCCGUGAAUAAGCCCCGGCUAAUUACGUGCCAGCAGCCGCGGUAACACGUAAGGGGCGAGCGUUGUUCGGAAUUAUUGGGCGUAAAGGGCGCGUAGGCGGCGCUGUAAGUCCGGCGUGAAAUAUCGGGGCUCAACCCCGGGGCUGCGCUGGAAACUGCGGUGCUGGAGUCACGGAGGGGCAGCCGGAAUUCCUGGUGUAGGGGUGAAAUCUGUAGAUAUCAGGAAGAACACCGGCAGCGAAGGCGGGCUGCCAGCCGAUGACUGACGCUGAGGCGCGAAAGUGCGGGGAGCAAACAGGAUUAGAUACCCUGGUAGUCCGCACUAUAAACGAUGCACACUAGGUGUCGGGGCGAGCGCCUCGGUGCCGGAGCGAACGCGAUAAGUGUGCCGCCUGGGGACUACGGCCGCAAGGUUGAAACUCAAAGGAAUUGACGGGGGCCCGCACAAGCGGUGGAGCACGUGGUUUAAUUCGAUGCAAACCGAAGAACCUUACCUGGGUUUGACAUGUUAGUGGUAAGAGGCUGAAAGGCAGAUGACUUAACCUUCGGGUUAAGAGCUAACACAGGUGCUGCAUGGCUGUCGUCAGCUCGUGUCGUGAGAUGUUGGGUCAAGUCCCGCAACGAGCGCAACCCCUGCAUUUAGUUGCUACCGAGAGAGACGAGCACUCUAGAUGGACUGCCGCCGAUAAGGUGGAGGAAGGUGGGGACGACGUCAAGUCAUCAUGGCCCUUAUGUCCAGGGCGACACACGUGCUACAAUGGCCGGUACAAAGGGAAGCGAGCCCGAGAGGGUAAGCGGAUCCCAUAAAGCCGGUCGCAGUUCGGAUUGAGGUCUGCAACCCGACCUCAUGAAGCUGGAAUCGCUAGUAAUCGCGCAUCAGCAUGGCGCGGUGAAUACGUUCCCGGGCCUUGUACACACCGCCCGUCACACCAUCCGAGUUGGAGGUACCCGAAGCCGGUAGUCUAACCGCAAGGAGGACGCUGUCGAAGGUACGUUUAGUGAGGAGGGUG